UACGGAGGGUGCGAGCGUUAUCCGGAAUUACUGGGUUUAAAGGGUGCGUAGGCGGCUAUGUAAGUCAGAUAGUGAAAGUUUGCGGCUCAACCGUAAAAUUGCUUUUGAUACUGCAUGGCUAGAAUCAGGAUGAGGUUAGCGGAAUGUGGCAUGUAGCGGUGAAAUGCAUAGAUAUGCCAUAGAACACCAAUUGCGAAGGCAGCUGGCUAGACCUGUAUUGACGCUGAGGCACGAAAGCGUGGGGAUCGAACAGG
rnacentral:rRNA from 1 species